GUGCUUGCACUAAAUGAAACUACAUAUAAGCGAGCGGCGGACGGGUGAGUAACACGUGGGUAACCUGCCCAAGAGACUGGGAUAACACCUGGAAACAGAUGCUAAUACCGGAUAACAACACUAGACGCAUGUCUAGAGUUUGAAAGAUGGUUCUGCUAUCACUCUUGGAUGGACCUGCGGUGCAUUAGCUAGUUGGUAAGGUAACGGCUUACCAAGGCAAUGAUGCAUAGCCGAGUUGAGAGACUGAUCGGCCACAUUGGGACUGAGACACGGCCCAAACUCCUACGGGAGGCAGCAGUAGGGAAUCUUCCACAAUGGACGAAAGUCUGAUGGAGCAACGCCGCGUGAGUGAAGAAGGGUUUCGGCUCGUAAAGCUCUGUUGGUAGUGAAGAAAGAUAGAGGUAGUAACUGGCCUUUAUUUGACGGUAAUUACUUAGAAAGUCACGGCUAACUACGUGCCAGCAGCCGCGGUAAUACGUAGGUGGCAAGCGUUGUCCGGAUUUAUUGGGCGUAAAGCGAGUGCAGGCGGUUCAAUAAGUCUGAUGUGAAAGCCUUCGGCUCAACCGGAGAAUUGCAUCAGAAACUGUUGAACUUGAGUGCAGAAGAGGAGAGUGGAACUCCAUGUGUAGCGGUGGAAUGCGUAGAUAUAUGGAAGAACACCAGUGGCGAAGGCGGCUCUCUGGUCUGCAACUGACGCUGAGGCUCGAAAGCAUGGGUAGCGAACAGGAUUAGAUACCCUGGUAGU
rnacentral:rRNA from 1 species